UACGAAGGGGGCUAGCGUUGUUCGGAAUCACUGGGCGUAAAGGGCGCGUAGGCGGCUUUAUAAGUCGGGGGUGAAAGCCUGUGGCUCAACCACAGAAUUGCCUUCGAUACUGUAGAGCUUGAGACCGGAAGAGGUAAGUGGAACUGCGAGUGUAGAGGUGAAAUUCGUAGAUAUCGGGAGGAACACCGGUGGCGAAGGCGGCGACCUGGGUCGAUACUGACGCUGAUGCGCGAAAGCGUGGGGAGCAAACAGG
rnacentral:rRNA from 1 species